AUGGACAACCGUCUACUAAAAGACCUACAACAGAUGACACUGUUCAAACAUACAGGACAACUUGAGGUGUUCCACAAUGCCCUUUUGAAGUACUGUCCAAAGCAACUUCAAUUUCAAUACCCAGCAAUGAAGGCACGCACUAUGCUAGCCAUUAUGGAUCAUUAUGAGAAUCAUAUGCAAAACCGUUACAUAAUCAUAGCAGUGGGUGUUUACUUAUCAAAAUGGACUGCUUUAAAGAGAGGGUCAAAACAGGAUAAAAAGUAGCCUAUUACUAGCCUAUUAUAAAUUUUUAUAAUUUUAUAUUUCUAUUUUUGUGAUGCAGAAAAAAGUGCAGUAUAUGAAUAUUUUUUGACAAGGGUAAUGAAUAGUAAAUGAAAAUAAGUCAAAGCAUUAAGCUAAACAUUUUUUUGAAUAAAUAAACCAAAAACAAACAAACAAAAAAAAUGCAUUUGUAUAUUACAAAAAUAUAUUUUUUUAUUCAUUUUUGCCCAAUAUUUCUAAUUUCUGAUCCCUUUACAAUCUUAGUAAAACAUUAAGCAUUAGAGCCCCAUCUAUAUAUAUAAAUAGUCAUUAGUAAUCAAACAUUAAUAUUCAGUAAUUAAAUAACAUCACAGCUUUUGCUUACAUUCAAAAUUGACUAUGCUUCAUUUUCAUUGGUUUUAACGCAACUUUGCCCAAGGGCAAAUGGCAAGCUUUAAAACAAACAACAUGUGUUUCCUUAUUAACCCUUGCAUUUUACAAAAUGUCUACUGCUGAUGAUGUCCAUAAUAUCCCUAAAAAUGGAGCUGAGUGGUUUGAAAUUAAACAUCCUCCAAAACAAACAAACAAACAGAAAAACAAACAAACAAAUAAAUAAAAAACAUACUAUACAUAUGUAUGAUACUGAUUUUAUUAAGUAUAAAAGUCAUAUAAAAUGUGCUGAGACACUUUCUCUUUUCCUUUCCCUAGCUUUCACUUUCUGAGAAGUCCACACCCAAAGGUGUAUCAGCUCUAACGUCAGACGUCUUACUCUGCUCAACACAACAGUUGAAUCGACGGCAGUGUCCUGUCCUACAGACAUUAUCCUGAGAGAUAAAAGGUAACCUUUUCUUUAAAUUAUUAAGAUGCUUAAAGUUAACUAAAAUUCAGUCACAAAUGUUUUCUGUCCUGUUUUAGCUUACUUUUUCCAAAACAAACUAUAGACAUACAUAUUACUACUAAUUUAUCAAACGAGCAUUCAACAUCAACAUUUUGAUUUUUAUCUCUCUGUACUAUCCUUUAUGCUCAACUUAGAAUUUGUAUACAAGCAAGACAUUCAAGGCAUUCACACGGAGUAUAAUAUAUAAAAAUGUCUUUGUUAAAAAAGGGCUAUACCUUUAAAAAACAACUGAUGUGUUAUAAUUAAAAUUAUUAUUCAAGUUAUCAUUUUUGGUGAUGGCUGUUUUAUCCACACUAUAAUGAACGUUUGAAAAGGUUGAAUAUAUGUGAUUUAUGGAACAAUGGUAAAAGUGGAACUCUUUAUUAACUUAAUCAAAUCGGAAGCAGGUACAUAAGAUCUUAUCUAAGAUAUUCAUGAUAUAUUUCAAUGACACUUGAUUUCCAAGCGGUAACAUUGUUUUAUUAAUAUGCAUGCAUUAAAUAUGCUGCUCAUGUUUUUGUCAGAGACGAACACCUGGUUAAGCAGGGAGUGGCAGCUGUGGUAGAAACAGUCACAUGAUCUGUUGUCAUGAUUACAGUCUGUUGGCAAGUGUAACACAACAUUAAUGCUAAAACCAUAUGGUAAACAAAAACAACUAUAAUAAUAAUAAUAACAAUAAUAAUUGUAAAGCGAUUUUUUUGGAAAGUAAUAUUUUUAGAAGGAGGGGAAAAUAGCAUUGAAUGAAAUUGGAGGCAUCGGUUCGAUUCCUAGGAAAUAGAGAAGAUAAAUUAUAAAUCUUGAAUAUAAUUUAAAUCACUCUGGAUAAAAUAGAAAAUUGUUCUAUUGCUGUCAGGAUACCAUGAAAGUCUCAGCAAUUCAAAACAAAAAUUUUCUACCAUCCAUCACCCUUUGUUUUGACAGGGAACUUACUAAACCGAGGACCUUUGGU
rnacentral:lncRNA from 1 species